AAAACCUCAUUGGUUGAGGGUCUGAUAAACUCAUAUAUCAAUGUGUUGUCAUCAGCUUCUUCUCUCGAAUUUGCUACGAGACUGGAGUUAAAUAACAGCACUAGAUUC